GAUGAACGCUAGCUACAGGCUUAACACAUGCACGUCGAGGGACCGGCGCACGGGUGAGUAACACGUAUCCAACCUGCCCUUUCAUCGGGGUACGCGUUUCGCAAGAAAGAUUAAUACCCGAUAUAAAGGAUGGGGAUGCGUUCCAUUCGGUUGUUGGUGAGGUAACUGCUCACCAAGCAUUCGAUGGAUAGGGGUUCUGAUAGGAAGGUCCCCCACAUUGGAACUGAGACACGGUCCAAACUCCGACGGGAGGCAGCAGUGAUGAAUAUUGGUCAAUGGGCGCUAGUCUGAACCAGCCAAGUAGCGUGAAGGAUGAAGGCGUAUGGGUCGAAAACUUCUUUUAUAUAAGAAUAUGUAUUAGAUGAAUAAGGAUCGGCUAACUCCGUGCCAGCAGCCGCGGUAAUAC
rnacentral:rRNA from 1 species